GGUUCACUUGUCCCUCCCCACCUAGUGCAGGCUCCCUUGCUGGUGCUCCCUUCACUCAGCCUUCAAGAGAGAUGCACCGUAGCUCUGCACUCACCAUGUCCUUUCUAGACAACCCCCACUCAAGGCCUCUCCUCCAGGCUAGCUCCAGGUAGAAUAGAGCCCAUUUUCCCAGGGCCGCUACUCUGCAAUCCCUUUCCUGUCAAGGAUGAAAAUCUUUCCUUAAUUUUUCACAGAAUGUCAGAAAAUGAACGAGACCUUAGAGACCAUCUACCUGUUUCUCUGAUGGGGAGACUGAGGCCAUGAACAGGUUAGUGACAGGCUCAAGGUGAGAUAGAAGACGAAUGGCUACAUUUGUGCUGGUUUGCUUAUUUCUGGGCUCUCAAUGUAGUGCCCUUUGUCAUCUACUGCACUAUCUCUUUAUUAUAACAUUCAUACAAUUAGCACAUACCCUGUGCAGAGCACCAGGUAGAGGACUGCACAGGGAGGGAGAAGUGAAUUAGACAUGAUGCUUCCUUUUCAGAAGAGAUGCUAAAGUAAGAAUCCAUGGAAAGUAGGACUGAAUUUAGGAAUAAAUCUGAUCAGUACUUACCCCAAGCUUCCAGCAUCUAAGAUUUCUUGCUUUCUGGAUUGGAUCUGCCCCAGGUCUAAUUGCAUGCAGUAGCCAAGAAUACUCCUGAGCAUGGGAAUAGGGGUGGCGAUGGGCAUAGCAUAUGAGAACAGAAAGAGUAGUGGCCUGAGUUGGUGGGUGGGGGUGAUGGUGGUGAGGAGUAGUGAUGCCUGAGGAAGCAAGAGGCUUGUUCUUUAGAUUGUCUUCUGAGCCAGCCCUCACAGAUUAGCACCUGAGCCCUAGAGGGAGGAGACUGAUGUGGGUUGGGGGUAAGAGUUAAAUAAAUUCUUAGGCUAAAGGCAGCGUGAGCCACUCUACAGCACUUUCGUGUUACACAUUGGGGGAGAAAAUGCUUUCCUCAUUUGGGGCUUGCAUUGUACAAGGUGGCCUGAGCAGUGUGAUGAGGGGGUCAAGGUGCCGAACUGGGAGAGGGGGAUGGGCAGGUCUUAGGGAAACAGAGAUCAGAUGGAGUGGAGACAGAAACACUUUUUUGACAAUAGCCUUUUGUUGACUCCUUUAGCACCUGUGCUGGGGUCAUCUAAGGGAACAGAAUAAUUGCAUUAACCAGAAAGAUACAGAGCGGUGAGAGUCCCAGCUGAGGGGCCCAGGGAAGGCUCGUGAUGGUACAUUUAAGAUGGGCUCAAGGGUUGGGCAGAUUUUUGAACCUUGGCGAUCGGUGGGUGAAGGAGGGGUCACAUUUUGGGCAAACUUACAAAGGUUGCAAAUUGUAAUGUGCUUACCCAUCUCCUUAGGAUCUUGCUAAAGUAGAGAUUCUGACUGUAGGUUUGGGGUGGGCCUGCGGUUCUGCAUUGCUAACCGGUUCCCAGGUGAUGAUACUGCUGCUGGUGCAUGGCUCUGCUAGAACAACUUUAACAUUUGUCUUUGGAUAGGAAAUGCUGGCCAGGUGGGAAAAUACUGAGCAGCUCAUUUUGUCCAGACCAGGACUCUUGUCUGUGGCCCUUGGAUAGGCUCCCAGAUCCAUCAGGAGUUGUCUUCCACAUUUAUGUUUUUGUGCAUUUUUCUGGAGAGAGGGUCAGUAGCUUCUAUUAGAUUAGCAAAGGCAUCCAUGACCUCCAAGUAGUUAAGUGCCAUUGAAUUUAUCAGAGAGUUCUGGGCUUCAACCCAGACCUGCUGAAUCACAGUCU
rnacentral:lncRNA from 10 species